UACGUAGGGUGCAAGCGUUAAUCGGAAUACUGGGCGUAAAGCGUGCGCAGGCGGUGAUGUAAGACAGAUGUGAAAUCCCCGGGCUCAACCUGGGAACUGCAUUUGUGACUGCAUCGCUGGAGUGCGGCAGAGGGGGAUGGAAUUCCGCGUGUAGCAGUGAAAUGCGUAGAUAUGCGGAGGAACACCGAUGGCGAAGGCAACCCUCCGCGCGCACUGACGCUCAUGCACGAAAGCGUGGGGAGC
rnacentral:rRNA from 1 species